AGACCCAGCACUAGGUGGCCAAUAUGGUCUACAUGUGACCCCUGCAGGCCAGGUGCUGGUCUGUGGAGGCUGGUCCGACACUAUACUACAGGUGGACUGGGAGGGGAAGAGUAAGCUGGCCACUCUGGCUACUCAAGAGGAUGGAAUGUGGAGACCAGAGUCAGUCUGCUACAGCAGCACAACAUCAUCCAUCAUUGUGGGACAGUGGAGGGACAACAACAUCCUGGUGUUCAGAGUGGAAUAGUGUGUUAUGUAUGUGCAAGAAAUUAUGUUAUGUGCAGUAACUAUUGGUCAAAUAUUUGUGUGCGGGCUAAAUAUUUGCUUGUGUGUCACUCAAGUACCUCUUUAUAUGAAUUCUUUUUGAAAUUGGCCAGUCUAUCAACCAGUGGGAAUGUAAGAGAAUACACAUUCAAUCCGCAAUAUGUCAGCAAGUCCUCAUCCAGCUGUUCACUGAACAGGCUACAACUGAUAUUAUAAGAUACAAGCAAUUAUUUCAACAGUAAUGAAUGUCAUUAUUGAAUAAAAAACACCAUUGUUGUGAACAUUAUUGAAAUGCCCUGUGCUUUAAUAUGAUAAUCUUGUAUACGAGAAGGAAACUGCUGAUUAUGUGCCCUGAGCGUUGAUAUAGACUGCUCGCAUAUUGAUGCUCGUUCUGCAUAGACAUACAGGAUAGGAAAAUAAUCAGUUUUCUUACGUGAAGAAAGGCCAGGUACUUUACAAUCCAUCCGGAUAACAGACACCGCAAGGACAAUAUGCAAUUGGUAGAUACAUCUCCAAGCUGUGGAGGUAAUUUCCUUUCACUGCCAAGUGCCAUACAGAAAUUAAAACACAAUACUGUUAAUACGGACUAUCAAUGUGGAUCCACGGUAACCGGUCCAGCCCUCAUGGAUUCAUAGACAGCAAAGCGGUCAGCCAAGUUGACCAGCUAAGCCACACUCAAGCCCCUGACCGCUGUUACAGACCCAUGUGACUCACGAAAUGGCAGUGGACACCAAACCAGACUAAAAGACCAAACAUGCACCGUCAGCUCCUGUCCCAACCCAUGUCUCCAAAGUGAAAUCUGAUCAGGAAACGCAUUAAGGUUUUAAUCCUAGAUGAACAUAGUCAACCUGAGACAGGACAGUCAUCAGGGAUACUUGCCGAUGUCCCCCCCCCCCCCCCCCCCCCCCCCCCCCCCCCCCC